rnacentral:tRNA from 1 species
GGGCCCGUGGCGGAAUUGGCAGACGCAGCGGACUUAAAAUCCGCAGCCGGUCAACCCGGCGUGUGGGUUCGACUCCCACCGGGCCCA